rnacentral:rRNA from 2 species
UUAAAUUGAAGAGUUUGAUCAUGGCUCAGAUUGAACGCUGGCGGCAGGCCUAACACAUGCAAGUCGAACGGUAACAGGAAGCAGCUUGCUGCUUUGCUGACGAGUGGCGGACGGGUGAGUAAUGUCUGGGAAACUGCCUGAUGGAGGGGGAUAACUACUGGAAACGGUGGCUAAUACCGCAUAACGUCGCAAGACCAAAGAGGGGGACCUUCGGGCCUCUUGCCAUCAGAUGUGCCCAGAUGGGAUUAGCUUGUUGGUGAGGUAACGGCUCACCAAGGCGACGAUCCCUAGCUGGUCUGAGAGGAUGACCAGCCACACUGGAACUGAGACACGGUCCAGACUCCUACGGGAGGCAGCAGUGGGGAAUAUUGCACAAUGGGCGCAAGCCUGAUGCAGCCAUGCCGCGUGUAUGAAGAAGGCCUUCGGGUUGUAAAGUACUUUCAGCGGGGAGGAAGGUGUUGUGGUUAAUAACCACAGCAAUUGACGUUACCCGCAGAAGAAGCACCGGCUAACUCCGUGCCAGCAGCCGCGGUAAUACGGAGGGUGCAAGCGUUAAUCGGAAUUACUGGGCGUAAAGCGCACGCAGGCGGUCUGUCAAGUCGGAUGUGAAAUCCCCGGGCUCAACCUGGGAACUGCAUUCGAAACUGGCAGGCUUGAGUCUUGUAGAGGGGGGUAGAAUUCCAGGUGUAGCGGUGAAAUGCGUAGAGAUCUGGAGGAAUACCGGUGGCGAAGGCGGCCCCCUGGACAAAGACUGACGCUCAGGUGCGAAAGCGUGGGGAGCAAACAGGAUUAGAUACCCUGGUAGUCCACGCCGUAAACGAUGUCUACUUGGAGGUUGUGCCCUUGAGGCGUGGCUUCCGGAGCUAACGCGUUAAGUAGACCGCCUGGGGAGUACGGCCGCAAGGUUAAAACUCAAAUGAAUUGACGGGGGCCCGCACAAGCGGUGGAGCAUGUGGUUUAAUUCGAUGCAACGCGAAGAACCUUACCUGGUCUUGACAUCCACGGAAGUUUUCAGAGAUGAGAAUGUGCCUUCGGGAACCGUGAGACAGGUGCUGCAUGGCUGUCGUCAGCUCGUGUUGUGAAAUGUUGGGUUAAGUCCCGCAACGAGCGCAACCCUUAUCCUUUGUUGCCAGCGGUUAGGCCGGGAACUCAAAGGAGACUGCCAGUGAUAAACUGGAGGAAGGUGGGGAUGACGUCAAGUCAUCAUGGCCCUUACGACCAGGGCUACACACGUGCUACAAUGGCGCAUACAAAGAGAAGCGACCUCGCGAGAGCAAGCGGACCUCAUAAAGUGCGUCGUAGUCCGGAUUGGAGUCUGCAACUCGACUCCAUGAAGUCGGAAUCGCUAGUAAUCGUGGAUCAGAAUGCCACGGUGAAUACGUUCCCGGGCCUUGUACACACCGCCCGUCACACCAUGGGAGUGGGUUGCAAAAGAAGUAGGUAGCUUAACCUUCGGGAGGGCGCUUACCACUUUGUGAUUCAUGACUGGGGUGAAGUCGUAACAAGGUAACCGUAGGGGAACCUGCGGUUGGAUCACCUCCUUACCUUAAAGAAGC